GCCGCGUGUGUGAAGAAGGCCUUCGGGUUGUAAAGCACUUUCAGUCGUGAGGAAGGUGGUAGUGUUAAUAGCACUAUCAUUUGACGUUAGCGACAGAAGAAGCACCGGCUAACUCCGUGCCAGCAGCCGCGGUAAUACGGAGGGUGCGAGCGUUAAUCGGAAUUACUGGGCGUAAAGCGCAUGCAGGUGGUUUGUUAAGUCAGAUGUGAAAGCCCGGGGCUCAACCUCGGAAUUGCAUUUGAAACUGGCAGACUAGAGUACUGUAGAGGGGGGUAGAAUUUCAGGUGUAGCGGUGAAAUGCGUAGAGAUCUGAAGGAAUACCGGUGGCGAAGGCGGCCCCCUGGACAGAUACUGACACUCAGAUGCGAAAGCGUGGGGAGCAAACAGGAUUAGAUACCCUGGUAGUCCACGCCGUAAACGAUGUCUACUUGGAGGUUGUGGCCUUGAGCCGUGGCUUUCGGAGCUAACGCGUUAAGUAGACCGCCUGGGGAGUACGGUCGCAAGAUUAAAACUCAAAUGAAUUGACGGGGGCCCGCACAAGCGGUGGAGCAUGUGGUUUAAUUCGAUGCAACGCGAAGAACCUUACCUACUCUUGACAUCCAGAGAACUUUCCAGAGAUGGAUUGGUGCCUUCGGGAACUCUGAGACAGGUGCUGCAUGGCUGUCGUCAGCUCGUGUUGUGAAAUGUUGGGUUAAGUCCCGCAACGAGCGCAACCCUUAUCCUUGUUUGCCAGCGAGUAAUGUCGGGAACUCCAGGGAGACUGCCGGUGAUAAACCGGAGGAAGGUGGGGACGACGUCAAGUCAUCAUGGCCCUUACGAGUAGGGCUACACACGUGCUACAAUGGCGCAUACAGAGGGC
rnacentral:rRNA from 1 species